UACGUAGGGUGCAAGCGUUGUCCGGAAUUAUUGGGCGUAAAGAGCUCGUAGGCGGUUUGUCGCGUCUGCCGUGAAAGUCCGGGGCUCAACUCCGGAUCUGCGGUGGGUACGGGCAGACUAGAGUGAUGUAGGGGAGACUGGAAUUCCUGGUGUAGCGGUGAAAUGCGCAGAUAUCAGGAGGAACACCGGUGGCGAAGGCGGGUCUCUGGGCCGAUAUUGACGCUGAGGAGCGAAAGCGUGGGGAGCAAACAGG
rnacentral:rRNA from 1 species